rnacentral:lncRNA from 1 species
CCGCGCCGCUCGUUGGCUCCGGCCCCCACCGCCGUCCAGCCUCGCCCCUUUCUUUCCUCGGGCAAUAAAAGGAGGCCAAUUGUCGGAGCCUUGCCACCACCGUGCUAUCACCUUGCCAGACCUACAACGCCUUCUCCCCACGCCAAACCACCACCGCCCCAUCGCCUGAGAUGCCGCACAAGCUGCCCCCGCCCAAGGUAAGCGGCAAAAUGGGUUCCAUUCACCCUCCGCCACCUUCCCCCGCCGCCCAAUCUUGCCGUCGGCGAGCCAUGGCCGAUCGGCCGCCGCCGAAAUCCCCUCCCUCACUCUCUGUUCCUGACCCAAGGAAGAAGAAGAGAAAAACACCCCCCCUUUCGAUCUAACCCCCACCUUUCCCAUAUUCACAAACCAGUCCUCCCACCACUCUCAAGGAUUUCUCGCGAAUAUGCCCUUCCACCACCCAGAAAUCUUCAAAAAUAGGCCCCUGAUUCUUACGGUUGUGUCCAAAGCUUUGUUUUAACCUCUAAACACACAGUUAUCUUGUCAUUUCAUGCGCCAAAUUUCCUCCCAUUAAUCCCAAAUUCAACCACGUCAUCCUCCAAUAUACCUCCGCUGAGGCAUCUCCAAAUUUCAUAAAAAUACUCAUUCCUUCUAUUUUCCGUUCGCGUUCUCUGUUUGAAGCUCAACGGGUAAAACUUUAAUUUUCUUUUAUUUAUUGUGUGCCCGAUUGUGUGUGCCGUAGAUCGCGGAGUACCCGAGGAGGAGUUUGACCGCGAGCCCGAGCCCGAGGACCAGCACCACAAGAAA